rnacentral:ncRNA from 1 species
UCGUGAACUAUUACCGGGCAGGACGAGGCCAGAGGAAACUCUGGUGGAGGUCCGUAGCGGUUCUGAUGUGCAAAUCGAUCGUCAGAUCCCAGCCUAGGAAAGAAAGACUGAUUAUGA